UUCAACCUAGGAAAACAUUAAAGAUCUAAAAUCAUCUGAACUUCACUCAAAACACACAGUCGCCGACCAACUCCACCAUUCUCACCGCCAGCGAACUCCUCCAAACGACCACCCCUUCAGCCAUCUCCUCACCUGCUGCUGCUUCACUCACACUACACCCACCCGUCUCCCUCACGCUAGAAAACAUGCAUAAAACAGCUGCACCCGACCUCAACACCCAAGGACUGCCCUAUCUCAAAAUCAGAUUUUAUAGAUACAAAAAAAAAAAACCUAGGGCCUAAUCUAGACGAAGAGCAGCGACAAUUCGUUCACCUUAACCUCUAAGUCAUAGUUGUUUCCACCUUCUUCUCCUUUACAAAAAGAAGCAGUCAUCCUCACCAAAAACACCACCAAGGUGCCGACUUACCCUAGAUCCAAAACAUAAAGCCAGCAGCACCAAAAACACACACAGAGGACGAAACUCGAUCUGGUCGGUCCUGAGUUUGAGUCGAAGAGGUCUGUCAAAGAGAUUCGCGGUCCGAGCUGCUACUACUGUUGCACUUUCGGGUCAGAUUUGGUUUUUCGGGAUUUGCUAUGACUAAAGUCAUGUUUAAUAUGAAGAAAUCAUUGAUGAGGUAUGUAUCAAUUUGCUAGAGUUUGAGCAUGACAAAAGUCAUUCUAGUCAAGACCAUUGCAUGCACGAGCUGCUUGAGGAAACUUUUUAUUUUUUAGUCUAUUUUAUGUUGUCUUUUAAUUAUUAGUCUUGUACAGUAGUAUUGAGUCUGUCAGUCUAGUUAAGAUUGUCAAGUCUUUCAUUAUCGUACUAUCUGUUUUGUAUUUGAAAAACCAAAAAAAUUAUAAAUGAAAAUCCAAAAAGAUUUUUAUUUUUA